rnacentral:rRNA from 1 species
UUACACCAAGGUGUGGCAGUUGUCCAUUGUGUUUCUCGGAAUUUUCUGUUUCAUAAGUUGGGGUCUAUCUUUUAAACAAACCCGGGGGCAACCCCUCUUUGUUCACGGGGGGAUUUAAAGUUUAAACAAAGUUUUUCCCGGCCCUUAUAAGGGGUUAACCACCGCGGGGUUUUGCUUAAAAAAUUGGUUGUAAUUCCCACCAAGGCCUGGCCCGCGGGUCCAUUAAAUUGUUUGUUAAAUGUAAUGGUUCACUCGGGUCCAUUGUUCAUAGGCCAGGUUGGAGGAAUUGUUACGUCACCAACGGGACUUGGAACCUGGUCCCUAAUUUCCUACGGGAGGCAAGCAUUCAGGAAUUUUUCCCCAAUGGCGGAAAGCUUGAUGGAGCCACGCCCGCGUGGUUGAUGAAGGGUUUCCGGCUCGUAAAACAAUUGUUGUAAGAGAAGAAUGACAUUGAGAGUAACUGUUCAAUGUGUGACGGUAUCUUACCAGAAAGGAACGGGUUAAAUACGUGCCAGCAGCCGCGGUAAUACGUAUGUUCCAAGCGUUAUCCGGAUUUAUUGGGCGUAAAGCGAGCGCAGACGGUUAUUUAAGUCUGAAGUGAAAGCCCUCAGCUCAACUGAGGAAUUGCUUUGGAAACUGGAUGACUUGAGUGCAGUAGAGGAAAGUGGAACUCCAUGUGUAGCGGUGAAAUGCGUAGAUAUAUGGAAGAACACCAGUGGCGAAGGCGGCUUUCUGGACUGUAACUGACGUUGAGGCUCGAAAGUGUGGGUAGCAAACAGGAUUAGAUACCCUGGUAGUCCACACCGUAAACGAUGAGUGCUAGGUGUUUGAGGGUUUCCGCCCUUAAGUGCCGCAGCUAACGCAUUAAGCACUCCGCCUGGGGAGUACGACCGCAAGGUUGAAACUCAAAGGAAUUGACGGGGACCCGCACAAGCGGUGGAGCAUGUGGUUUAAUUCGAAGCAACGCGAAGAACCUUACCAGGUCUUGACAUCCCUUGACAACUCCAGAGAUGGAGCGUUCCCUUCGGGGACAAGGUGACAGGUGGUGCAUGGUUGUCGUCAGCUCGUGUCGUGAGAUGUUGGGUUAAGUCCCGCAACGAGCGCAACCCUUAUUACUAGUUGCCAGCAUUCAGUUGGGCACUCUAGUGAGACUGCCGGUGACAAACCGGAGGAAGGUGGGGAUGACGUCAAAUCAUCAUGCCCCUUAUGACCUGGGCUACACACGUGCUACAAUGGCGUAUACAACGAGUUGCCAACCCGCGAGGGUGAGCUAAUCUCUUAAAGUACGUCUCAGUUCGGAUUGUAGGCUGCAACUCGCCUACAUGAAGUCGGAAUCGCUAGUAAUCGCGGAUCAGCACGCCGCGGUGAAUACGUUCCCGGGUCUUGUACACACCGCCCGUCACACCAUGAGAGUUUGUAACACCCAAAGCCGGUGGGGUAACCUUCGGGAGCCAGCCGUCUAAGGUGGGACAGAUGAUUAGGGUGAAGUCGUAACAAGGUAGCCGUAGGAAU